CCUACGGGAGGCAGCAGUGAGGAAUUUUCCGCAAUGGGCUAACGCCUGACGGAGCAAUGCCGCGUGGAGGAGGAAGGCCUGUGGGUCGUAAACUCCUUUUCUCAGAGAAGAAGAUCUGACGGUAUCUGAGGAAUAAGCAUCGGCUAACUCUGUGCCAGCAGCCGCGGUAAUACAGGGGAUGCAAGCGUUAUCCGGAAUUAUUGGGCGUAAAGCGUCCUGAGGUGGCUUACCCAGUCGACUGUGAAAGCUCAAGGCUCAACCUUGAAACGGCAGUCGAAACUUGUAAGCUUGAGUACGGUAGAGGCAGAGGGAAUUCCCGGAGGAGAGGUGAAAUUCGUAGAUAUCGGGAGGAAGGCCAAAGGCGAAAGCACUCUGCUGGGCCGAUUACUGACACUGACAGACGAAAGCUAGGGGAGCGAAAGGGAUUAGAUACCCCUGUAGUCCUAGCCGUAAACGAUGGAUACUAAGUGUUGCGCGACUCAACUCGUGCAGUGCUGCAGCUAACGCGUAAGUAUCCCGCCUGGGAGUAUGCUCGCAAGAGUGAAACUCAAAUGAAAUUGACGGCUGAGACGAGCGAGACGACGACGAGGGAGGAGG
rnacentral:rRNA from 1 species